rnacentral:pre_miRNA from 1 species
AGUGGAAUAGCUGGGUCAAAUGGUGGUUUCAUUCCAAGUUGUCUGAGGAAUCUGCAUAUUGCUUUCCAUAGUGGUUGCAUCAAUUUGCACACCCAACAGCAAU